UGGACCGUCUUCCAUAUAUCUACUGACUUCAUAUAAAUGAAAGUCUCGCUGAUCUGCACUACCAGCUCGUUCAACGUUACUGAACAACAAAGUAAUCCGACAAUCAGACUGGACCCGGUCAUGUUAGAAUCCAGAGGUAGGAAAUGAACAUACAAUCGACUCCGCAUCGAUGCAUGACCUCUCCCGGAACGCGUCAAGAAUUAACAAUGGAAGAAAAUACUACAGACGUGUUUAUUAACAAUAAAGUUAUUUUUGUUUUUAUGAAA